GUGCCAGCAGCCGCGGUAAGACGUAGGGAGCGAGCGUUGUCCGGAUUCAUUGGGCGUAAAGGGUCCGUAGGCGGCUCAGCAAGUCGGGUGUGAAAUCUCCAGGCUCAACCUGGAGGGGCCACCCGAUACUGCUGUGGCUUGAGUCCAGUAGGGGAGCAUGGAAUUCCCGGUGUAGCGGUGAAAUGCGCAGAUAUCGGGAGGAACACCAGUGGCGAAGGCGGUGCUCUGGGCUGGAACUGACGCUGAUGGACGAAAGCGUGGGUAGCAAACAGGAUUAGAUACCCCAGUAGUCC
rnacentral:rRNA from 1 species